rnacentral:lncRNA from 1 species
GGAAAACUCAGUUUCUAAUGACAAAGGAAGUGGUGAUCAGUCUGCAGCACAGUGCAGAAGUCAGAUGGACCGAUUGGAUCGGGAAGAAGCUUUCUAUCCAUUUGUAAAUAACCUGAGUGAAGAAGAUUAUAGGCUUAUGGAGAUAAUAAUUUGCUAGGCACCCCAGGUGAAAGUACUGAGGAAGAGUUGCUGAGAAGACUACAGCAAACUAAAGAAGGCCCACCACUGCAAAACUCAGGUGAAAAUAGAGGAGGAGACUCUUCAGAUGAUGUGUCUAAUGGUGACUCUAUAAUAGACUGGCUUAACUCUGUCAGACAAACUGGAAAUACAACAAGAAGUGGGCAAAGAGGAAACCAAUCUUGGAGAGCAGUGAGCCGGACUAAUCCAAACAGCGGUAAUUUCAGAUUCAGUUUAGAGAUAAAUGUUAACAGUAAUAAUGGGAGCCAAAAUUCAGAGAAUGAAAAUGAGCCAUCUGCAAGACGUUCUAGUGGAGAAAAUGUGGAAAACAACAGCCAAAGGCAAGUGGAAAACCCACGAUCUGAAUCAACAUCUGCAAGGCCAUCUAGAUCAGAACGAAAUUCAACUGAAGCAUUAACAGAAGUCCCACCUACCAGAGGUCGGGGAGGGCAAGAAGCAGGAGCCCAGACCGUGGGAGAGCCAGAGCAAGAGCUGAGAGAAGUAGGUCACCUCUGCAUCCAAUGAGUGAAAUUCCACGAAGAUCUCAUCAUAGUAUCUCAUCUCAGACUUUUGAACAUCCUUUGGUAAAUGAGAUGGAGGGAAGUUCUAGAACCCGGCCCUGUGUGACAUUGAGACAGCAAAUAUCUGGGCCUGAGUUGCUAAGUAGAGGUCUUUUUGCAGCUUCUGGAAAAAGAAAUGCCUCUCAAGCAGCAGGUUCUUCAGACACAGCGGCCAAUGGUGAAUCUACAGGAUCAGCACAGAGACCUCUAACCAUAGUCCUUGAUCUUCAAGUAAAAAGAGUUAGUCCUGGAGAAUAUCGGCAGAGAGAUAGCAUAGCCAGCAGAACUCGGUCUAGGUCUCAGAGGCCAAACAACACUAUCACCUAUGAAAGUGAGCGAGGAGGUUUCAGGCGUACGUUUUCACGUUCUGAGUGGGCAGGUGUGAGAACCUAUGUCAGUAGCACCAGAAUCCCCAUUUGUAGAAUCUUAAAUACUGGUUUAUGUGAGACUACAUCUGUUGCAAUUCAGACGAUGUUAAGGCAGAUAAUGACAGGUUUUGGUGAGUUAAGCUAUUUUAUGUACAGUGAUAGCGACUCAGAGCCUACUGGCUCAGUCCCAAAUCAAAAUAUGGAAAGGGCAGAGUCACGGAGUGGAAGAGGGGGUUCUGGUGGUGGUAAUAGUUCUGGUUCCAGUUCGAGUUCCAGUUCAAGUUCCAGUUCCAGUUCCAGUCCUAGUUCCAGUUCCGGUGGUGAAAGCUCAGAAACUAGCUCAGAUUUAUUUGAAGGCAGUAAUGAAGGAAGCUUAUCAUCAGGCUCAUCAGGUGCCAGGCGAGAGGGUCGACAUACGGCCCCAGUCAUAUUUCAUUAAAGUGGCUCUUUGCCCUUCCUAGCCUGGCUCAGUUUUCCUCUUAAAUGAGGAUGAUGAUGACCAACCUAGAGGACUCACUAAAGAACAGAUUGACAACUUGGCAAUGAGAAGUUUUGGUGAAAAUGGUGCAUUAAAAACCUGUAGUGUUUGCAUUACAGAAUAUACAGAAAGCAACAAACUUCGUAAACUACCUUGUUCCCAUGAGUACCAUGUCCACUGACUGCAUCGAUCGCUGGUUAUCUGAGAAUUCUACCUGUCCUAUUUGUCGCAGAGCAGUCUUAGCUUCUGGUAACAGAGAAAGUGUUGUG